GUUGUAUAACAAAUUAGCUAAUGUUUCCAUUUUACCCUCACUCUUCUCCUUCCUUUCUCACGUCUUAAAUCCCCGAGUGAUAUUUUUCUCUCUUUUUUUUCCAUGCUUCUUCCCCAACUUCAUCUCUUCUACACUUAAUUUAAACCUUUUCUUUUUAAUCACAUUUCCUCCCAACCUGCGUCGCACACCAAAACUCUUUUUCUCUUCAAAAUUGAAAAUUCCUGAUUGCUUAAUCCACUGAAAAAAAGAAGUGAAGCGUUUUUCAGGUCGUCUCACAGGAUCCAAGAUCCGAUAAGUUUUAAUUCGGACCCAAAUUUCAAAUCCCCUUGAUCUGUACAAGUUCUUAUAAUGGGUUUUGGUUUAUAGAUCUAAUCUCCUAAUUCUUAGUUUGUUCGAUACUCUUUUAUCAAAUUGGGAAGAAACAGAGUUAAAGAAUGAACUACAAAGAACGGUGAUGAAGAUUCUUGAAGAUGAGGACUGUGUAUUUUGAGAUAAACAAUUAUGCAUAUCAAGGUAUGAAUUAAUCAAUUGAAUUCGAAUAAAAUUCAAGGAUUUAUAAGUUGACAGAUUAAUGUUCAAUUAUAAACCAUCUAAUUCAUCAGUAAAACAACAAAAACAUGUAUAGAAAUGGAACCUAGUCCCUACUCACAAUCAGUGCUACAUAACAGGCUUUCUAUGCUUCAACCAUUACUGCAAUUUCAAUCCUUUUGUAGCUACAAUGACAAGCCCAACAUAUAUAUAGCUCAACUCAAUUGAUGAACCUUUGAUCGAAAAUUGAUCAAAAGAUGCCUUCGAUUGAUUACAAUUUUGCAGUGAAGUCUUCAUCUCUUAAGAACGUAGGCAGUGUUAUGGGCAAAAUAGAAAUCAGGACAUUUAAGGAGCUAGUAAAGAGAAAUAUGACCGACAGUGGUUCGAAUGUAUAUACAAAGAAUUUUUUUUUAAACUUCUUACUAUUAGAUAAUGUCCAUAAAUCUCAUGAUAGGUACCCAAAGAUUCAUAGUGAACUUCGAUGGGAGCUUCUCUUGAAGCAAUAAUGCAUUGCUCUAGUCGCCACCGGAGCCACUAAGGACUAUCUAAAUUGAUUCUUUUCUGCCUAUAAGCUCCAAUCGCAUCAUAGGAAUUACAAAAAAAAAAAAGGCUCCCUUGUAGACUUAAAGUUAUUAUCGUCAAUUCUUUCAUUUUGAUAGCUUUUUCGAUUCUAUGGAUUAUACCUAUUCGCACAAAUACCUCGACGAUUCCCACUCAUUAAUACAUAGAGCCCAAUAAGCAUAUCUUGAGUCGGUACGGAAAUGGGAUCCCCAAUAGUUGGAGACAAGAGAUUCAUAUGAGAAAACAUAAGUAAACAAGCCUCCGCUUGCGCGUCUAAAGAUAAAAGGUACAUGAACUGCCAUUUGAUCCCCAUCAAAGUCUCCAUUGAAUCCCUUACAAACUAAUGGAUGUAAACAAAUAGCACGUCCUUCCACUAAAAUAGGUUGAAAUGCCUGUAUACCUAAUCUAUGCAGAGUAGGCACUCUAUUCAGCAAUACAGGAUGUCCUCGCAUAACUUCUUACAGUAUUUCCCAUACAAUCGGCCCUUUUUCCCGAAUUUUACUCUUAGUAACUCCUAUGUUCGGAGCAAGAUGUUGUCUAAUUAGACCGCGAAUUACAAAUGUCUGGAAAAGCUCUAUUGCUAUUUCGCGAGGCAAUCCACAGCAAUGUAAUGAAAGUGAGGGGCCAACAACAAUGAUAGAACGUCUCGAAUAAUUGACUUGUUUGCCAAGCGAAGUCUCGCGAAAUCUUCCCUCUUUGCCUUCAAUUACAUCUGAAAACGACUUGUAAACCUUAUUAUGACCGUCCCUCAUUGGUUGUCCGCGGAUUCCAUUAUCAAGAAGUGUAUCCACGGCUUCUUGUACUAAUUUUUCCUGACACAUUACUAAUUCCCCUGGCAUAGAUCUACUUAUUGUUAAUAGAUCGGUAAGAGUAUUAUUUCGAUAGAUAACUCUUCUAUAGAGUUCAUUAAUAUCUGAACUCAUUAGUUUACCCCCAUCUAUCUGAAUGAUCGGUAGAAAGGUGCAUUGACUCUCGUACUUAAAUCUUGACUUUAUUUGAUUCGCUCUUUCUGUUUUUUGGAUCAUUUGUCAACCUUACAGAAAUGUUUUUGGAUUUGAUUAAUAAGUUUCUUAUUAUUAUUUUCAUCAGAUUUGAUCACUUGGUUUGAGACUUGAACUCUCUCCAGAAUUUGAUUUUUUUCCUUUGUGUUGUGUUUUCAAGAAAUUUCUACUCUUUACCUUCUCGAGAAUAGAUCAGAUUUUUUGGAAUAAAACUCAUGCCUAGAAUACCUGUUUCUUCACCCACUGAUGUUGACAUUUUGGGCAUGUCGCAAGCCUGCAGAUUGUUUGUACAGCUCCAUUUCUUCAUUCUUGUGUAAGUAAGUUUUUGAUAAUGCUGGAACAAAAGCAAAAAACAAGAAGAAAAAAGGGAAAAAAAAAAGGGUUAUUGGGUACUUUUUAGUAUUGCUAUUUAUUGAAUUCUUUUCUUCUCAUGUUCAUAGUCUUGUUCUAAGUACAUUCUCAUUGUAAAAUCUUUAUUAUCAUUUGGUUUGAAUCCAUAGAUAAAGAGAUACUCAAAAGGUCAUUUUGUUUGAAUAAAUUGGUUUUAGUCA